UUUGCCAUCGUUCGGUCUCUUUCAGCGUCGCUUUGACAAAAGUCAGAAGGACAUCUCUGUUUGAGGGAAGCGAGGCGAGAGCCAGCCCUGGCCGGCUGUUUACAUUGACAAGAACGAGUGUUGGGGGUAAUAAAUUAGACGCAAAAUAAAAACAUCUGAACCACCGUCCUGGUCUGUGUGUGAGUGACGUUCCGUCGAAUUAUCUGCUCUCCCUUACCAUCUCUGGGAACAACUUCCCCUCCCGUCGAUCUUCAUUGGUUGGCAACCUAUAUCUCCAUGGCAACGUGG